rnacentral:rRNA from 1 species
GACGAACGCUGGCGGCGUGCUUAACACAUGCAAGUCGAACGGAAAGGCCCGGCUUGCAGGGUACUCGAGUGGCGAACGGGUGAGUAACACGUGGGUGAUCUGCCCUGCACUUCGGGAUAAGCCUGGGAAACUGGGUCUAAUACCGGAUAGGAGCCAUUUUUAGUGUGAUGGUUGGAAAGUUUUUUCGGUGUAGGAUGAGCUCGCGGCCUAUCAGCUUGUUGGUGGGGUAAUGGCCUACCAAGGCGGCGACGGGUAGCCGGCCUGAGAGGGUGGACGGCCACAUUGGGACUGAGAUACGGCCCAGACUCCUACGGGAGGCAGCAGUGGGGAAUAUUGCACAAUGGGCGCAAGCCUGAUGCAGCGACGCCGCGUGGGGGAUGACGGCCUUCGGGUUGUAAACGCCUUUCGCUAGGGACGAAGCUUUUUGUGACGGUACCUAGAUAAGAAGCACCGGCUAACUACGUG